CUUCUGAUUACGUCUCAGACACAAACCCUGACACGCAACUGGAACUCCGACGAAUCUCAGCGGUUUAUGGCGGUACCCUCCGGCCACCUUCAACUCGAGACUGUCUCCACCGGCAGUGAAACACCAAAAACAAAAUCUAUCGAAGCAAACCAAACCCGAUUAAAGUCGCUGCAACUUGCAAUGACUUCUGUUUCGGCUUUGCUCUCUCGAUCAUGGCAAAAUGGAACUGAUGCAAUUUCGUGUCGCCAUAAUUUAUUUAAUUUCCGGAGAGUUCUCCAUAGCCGGUAAUCACUAAACCCUUGAGUGAAUCUCCUCGCCGCUGUAUUGUCUGAACAGAACCCCAAAGCUUCUUGACUCCAUCCCAACGAUCUGUAGUAUCCAUUGCUCACAUCGUAACUACAACCAAUGUGAUCUCCAGCAAGAAUAGUAGAUUCGUUGUCCUAACCCCCUUUGACUUUGACUUUUCCUUUGAUAGUGAAGUCUCAAUGCUAAUUACCUAUUUGCAACUUCGGUGACUUUAUCUUUACCAGCCUCAGGUAUCAACCUCGUUCUAUUCCACUACCGUGAUAGAUGUAUGUCGAUACCAACUCUGAAAAUCCCUACCAGCUUCUCCGGUGUAUUUUCUGCCUCCUCUGCCGUCGACCUCAGAUCAAGUUACUCCACCUUGAACUCUGAUUCUUCCUUCGAUUACACCACCUUGGACCGCUCUGCUUCUGUUUUCUUCUUGACUCUCUCUCAAGUUAUCACCAUUGAUGGGAACGCUCGAUUUCACUUCAUCGUUGAUCAUGUGAUAUCAAUGCUCAAGAUCCUCCAGCGUCCGACUCAUCUCUCUUGAUAAAGUUGCAAACAGAGCUAGCUUGUCUUCUCUCUACAGCUUGUCCUCCAGUUCUUUAGGCUGAACUCCUUGCCAGCUUUACUAAAACCUUAUAUGUUCUCCUUCAAUGGCAUUUCUCUUGUGCAGCUCCACUUUAUCUUACCAUUCUUCAGCUCCACCUGGACCUGGAAUCAUCUUCUGAUUCCAUUAAAUGGUAACAUCCUCUAUAAAAUCCCGGAACUACUCCAUUUAUUCUGUCUCUUAUCAUUUCUCUAGGCUAUGUGAAAUCAUCACUUUUGAUUUCUUCUCCGCAUUUUCUUCGGUGAUCAGUCGAAGUACUUCUGCUCCCAUGAUGAUUCCUGUAGCUCCUUGUGGAAUCUAACACUUGAUUCCUUGUUCCUUUCCAGCUACUCAUGACGAAAGACCAACCUUCGCUCUUGCUUCCUGCAACUUCAGAUUUCCAAGACGAGCUCCACCUGGAACCAGAAUCAACAUUGCACGACUUCUAAUUCUUCACAGUUAUUUUAAACCUCAACUGUGAGAGCUCAGCCUCCUCCUUCAUCUUUAGGGUUUCUCCAGGAUGAUCAACCAAGCUUGGAACAUCUUCUAUUUAUACUUGAACCGUAGCCGACUUAUUCCUCCUAACGUCGUAAGGAUUAUGUAAAUAAUCCUUUUCCUUUUCCUUGUGUAACAAGAACGUCGUCGGUUUGUAAGGCACAUUAUGUGAUUGGGCUCUGUUCUAAUUUCUGACCCAAUAGAACAAUAUUGAUUCAAAGCCCAUAUUCUCACAACUUCCUAGAAGACAUCUUGUGAAAGUGUUAUAUGUUUGAACUUAUGUGAUGUUAGAUCUUUUGUGAAUAUGACUAUGUUUUUUUAGAAGUUUUAUUAGUGGAAGAAAUACGUGUAUCAUCCAAAAGACACAUGCGAUGAGAAUAAUGGGUUUUAUCUAUUUAACUUUUUUUUUACAAGAUACUUACUGAAAUAAUUGUCGGGAUUAAAAAGCUUUUACGCUUUAUAAAUACAAUCUUGGCCCUUUGCUUAUGGAGUUGAGAAACUAAAUUCUGACAAAAGUUUGGAGAUAUGCAACUCUCUUCAUUACCAUGUUGCUUUCUUUCUUUAGAGUAUAAACCGGAGGCAACAGAUCAUAUGCAGCAUGAACAUUUCCCAUAUUUUUGUUCUUUUGUUUUAAGCAAGUUGUUACUUUCAUCUUUAAUAUCGUAAAAUAAAUUUUAACGAGUAGUCUAAGAUUUAGUCAUUUCGGUAAAAGGUUCAAAGUCAUUAUCUUAUCUUAAGCAUAUUAGUAUCAAAACUCAAUUUAUCACAUGUAGGCUGUCAAUGUGGAAAUUGCCAUGUUUUCUCAAAUUUUAUAUUCCUGCUUUCCUUGCCAUGUCCAACUAAAGUGAAAGUGAAUCAACUGCAAAGAGGAAUCGACCUUUUUCUACUAUUCAUUUGCUUUAUACUGUGUAAAAUUUCGAAAUAUAAAAUUUGGCAAACAAAGUGUGGAUCAGAUAAUCCAAUGUAAAAAAUACAUAACUACAAGUAUCUAGAUUUUUUUUGGAUAACUGAAAUAAUCUAUCUGGUUAACAAAAGUGAAUUUUUGCAAUGAAUUUAAUUAUCCGAUCAUUUUUUAUUAAAGUAGAGGCAGUAUGAUUAGUUUUGAUGUCCUUAAAACAAACAAAAACAUAUUUCUUAAAAGAAGCAAAGGUAAAUUGAGAAAAUAUGUGUAUGCAUCAUAUCAAACAUUAUUUUCCAGAAGUAAUUUAAUGAUCAAAUCAUUUUACAACUGUGGCAAGAAAAAAACAAAGUGCAUAGCAUGAUUUCUAACAAUUUUCGCAGUCGCAUAGGAAAUUAAUACAUUUUUUAACUUUACACGAAUCAAAACAACUGUUUUUGCAAUCAAUAUUAUUAAUGCAACUCCCAAAAUAUUGAUUUGGUUGGGGCAGCUUUGGUUGGCAUGAUGCUCCAGCACACUUUUGCACAUAUCGUCCAGGUUUCAUUAGUUCCCUUGCAUUUGAUAUACAUACACCUAUAAAACAGAAUUUAGUACAUGCACUUUCAUUCCAGAUUUCGAACUAGUUAGGCAUCAUAUAUACAUAUAUACACACACGUAGAGAGAGAGAGAGAGUGGGAGAGACGAACAUGAGAGGAGUGCGACCAGAAUAAUAAGCAAUGUUGUCUUUGAUACUGUCAUGUCUUUUACAAUUUGUACUUGAUGUAUAUGUUUUGUGAUUGUGCUUUGAGAUUCUUAUAUAUAUGUGUCUAUUUAUAUUAUGUUAUGAGGCGUAGAAAUGGUAGGUAAAUAUAACAACCUGUCUGUAUAGCUUUGGAAGACAAUAGAGUUUGUUAUAUUGAUGGGGAUUGGAAAAAGGAGGACAUAUAUACAGGAAAAGGGUGGUUUUGUAGAAAGAGUGGCUCGACGGAUGUUAUGAUUGGGGCAAUGAAUCUUCGUAGGAGUUUGUCACCUUUGUAUGCUGAGUGUGAAGCACUGAUUUGGGCAAUGGGGUGCAUGAAGACCCUCCAAUUCUCUGAUGUAGUUUUUGCGACGGAUUGUUCUCAACUGGUGAAGAUGGUGUUGACACCUGAAGAAUGACAUGCUUUCUUUACACACAUGGAAGAAUUCAACCGCAGUAAGAUUUUCUUUCCUCACUUCCGGAUCAGACAUAUUCCUAGAGCACAAAACACUU